rnacentral:lncRNA from 1 species
CGUGUUCCAUGUUUUAUUACGAAUCUGUGUGCUUUCCUCUGUUUUCUAAUACUUAUGGGUGCCGUAUUUAUGUUAUGUAAUCUAGUUCUGUGCUUUACUAUGAGUUUGUGUGGUAUCUCGUGACUUGAGCCGGGGGCCUAUCGGAAACAACCUUUCUACUUCUUUAGAGGUAGAGGUAUGGACUGCGUACAUCUUACCCUCCAGACCCCAC